UGGUCAAGUUAUUAAGGGUGCAGGGCGGAUGCCUUGGCACUAGGAGCCGAUGAAGGACGUGAUAAGCUGCGAUAAGCUUCGGGGAGUUGCACGUAAACUUUGAUCCGAAGAUUUCCGAAUGAGGAAACUCACUUAGAGUAAUGUCUAAGUAUCAUUAAGUGAAUACAUAGCUUAAUGAGGGGAACUCAGGGAACUGAAACAUCUAAGUACCUGAAGGAAGAGAAAGAAAUUCGAUUCCGUAAGUAGCGGCGAGCGAACGCGGAUUAGCCAAAACCAAUAAAGUUUUCUUUAUUGGGGUUGCGGACAUAUCAUAACGAAGAGGUAUCGUAAUUGAAGAGGUUUGGAAAGACCCACCACAGAAGGUAAUAGUCCUGUAUGUUAAACGAGAAGACUUUAGAUAUGAUCCAGAGUACCACGGGACACGUGAAACCCUGUGGGAAGCAGGAGGGACCACCCUCCAAGGCUAAAUACUACCUAGUGACCGAUAGCGUAUAGUACCGUGAGGGAAAGGUGAAAAGAACCCCGGGAGGGGAGUGAAAUAGAACCUGAAACCCUGCACUUACAAGCUGUGGAAGCACAUUUCUUGUGUGACCGCGUACUUUUUGUAGAACGGGCCAACGAGUUACGUUAAGUAGCAAGGUUAAGCACUUAAGGUGCGGAGCCGUAGCGAAAGCGAGUUUUAACUGAGCGUUCAGUUACUUGACGUAGACCCGAAACCGGGCGACCUACCCAUGAGCAGGAUGAAGCGAAAGUAAAAUUUCGUGGAGGUCCGAACCCACGAGCGUUGAAAAGCUCGGGGAUGACUUGUGGGUAGCGGUGAAAUUCCAAUCGAGCCCGGAGAUAGCUGGUUCUCCCCGAAAUAGCUUUAGGGCUAGCCUCAAGGUGAGAGAUACGGAGGUAGAGCACUGAAUGUCCUAGGGGGUAUUGCACCUACCGAAGACUAUCAAACUCCGAAUGCCGUCAUCUUAUACUUGGGAGUCAGACUGUGGGUGAUAAGAUUCAUAGUCGAAAGGGCAACAGCCCAGAUCGUCAGCUAAGGUCCCUAAAUGUAAGUUAAGUGGUAAAGGAUGUGGGAUUGCACAGACAACCAGGAUGUUGGCUUAGAAGCAGCCACUCAUUCAAAGAGUGCGUAAUAGCUCACUGGUCGAGUGAUCCUGCGCCGAAGAUUUCCGGGGCUAAAACUUACUACCGAAGCUACGGCAUCAGUAAUGAUGGGUAGGGGAGCUUCCCAUACGGGUUGAAGCAUGACCGUAAGGACAUGUGGACAGUAUGGGAGUGAGAAUGUUGGCAUGAGUAGCGAGAUGUGGGUGAGAAUCCCACAGGCCGUAAACCCAAGGUUUCCAGGGGAAGGUUCGUCCGCCCUGGGUUAGUCGGGACCUAAGCUGAGGCCGAAAGGCGUAGGUGAUGGACAACAGGUUGAUAUUCCUGUACUACCGAUAACCGUUUGAGAGAAGGGAUGACACAGUAGGAUAAGCUAAGCACACUGUUGGUUAUGUGUGCCCAAGCAUUGAGGCAGUCAAAGUAGG
rnacentral:rRNA from 1 species